UACGGAGGGUGCGAGCGUUGUCCGGAAUCAUUGGGCGUAAAGGGCGCGUAGGUGGCCCGGUCAGUCCGUGGUGAAAGCGCGGGGCUCAACCCCGCGUCGGCCAUGGAUACUGCUGGGCUUGAGCACUGUAGAGGCAGGCGGAAUUCCGGGUGUAGCGGUGGAAUGCGCAGAUAUCAGGAGGAACACCAGUGGCGAAGGCGGUUCUCUGGGCAUUACCUGACGCUGAGGAGCGAAAGUGUGGGGAGCGAACAGG
rnacentral:rRNA from 1 species